CCCUUAGAUGUUCUGGGCCGCACGCGCGCUACACUGACAGGGUCAGCGAGUACAUCACCUUGGCCGAGAGGUCCGGGUAAUCUUGUUAAACCCUGUCGUGCUGGGGAUAGAGCAUUGCAAUUAUUGCUCUUCAACGAGGAAUGCCUAGUAGGCACGAGUCAUCAGCUCGUGCCGAUUACGUCCCUGCCCUUUGUACACACCGCCCGUCGCUACUACCGAUUGAAUGGCUUGGUGAGGCCUUCGGACUGGCUCCAGGGGGUUGGCAACGACCCCCCAGAGCCGGAAAGUUGGUCAAACCUGGUCAUUUAGAGGAAGUAAAAGUCGUAACA
rnacentral:rRNA from 1 species